rnacentral:lncRNA from 1 species
GUAGAAGUUGCCAUACAGGUCUAGGAAAUGAGCCAUCACCAGUCCCUGAAUCUGCCUGCACCUAAAUCCUGGACUUCGAGCUUCCAGAAUGUGGCAAGGGAUGGACUCUUCACCAUCACAGCUACAAACAUGUGAGCAUGUCCUGCCUAUAUCCUUAAGAGCCAGCCUUCUGCCUUCAAAUAUCACGUCAAGAACAAAGCCCACCCAGCCUGAUCCUGAACAGGGCUUCUGUUUGCAAGGCAGGGUGGCCUUCCAGCACCUGGUCAUGAGUGUGUCAUGUAGCAAGGCCUGUACUUUCCAUGCAUGAAGAACAGAGUUCCAGAUCCAUCCACAUUUGGAAAGGCUCUUCUUCAGUUAUACAAGUGCUGCAGAGCACAGGAUCGCAGAGGAAACCUGCGCACAACUGUGGAACCCCAGUGAAUCUGCUGCCGGCAUUUUGCCCCUCAUCAUCCUGAGGUGGAUUUGAUGAAGUACUUUUCUCUCUUGCAUGUCCUUUCCUCAUCAUCACCCAGGUACAUGACUGAAACACAAGCAAAAUCUGUUGCCAACACAAACACAGAAAAUUUCCAGCAUUCGGCGUGCCUGGCUUCUCCAGAAGGUAACAGGACCUGAUCAUCUUGGGCCCCAUGCUGUGAAAGAUGCCAAUAUGUGGGAGCUCAUAGUUUAUCCU